UACGGAAACACGCCGCGCGGUACGGACAUCCGGAACGGUGUGCUGCCGCGAUUCUAGCUUCGAUCGCCCGACAAGAGAAAGUAGCCUCGGUGUGGUAGGCGUAACGUCUCGCUGUCAGAGCGGCGGUUUGUGGUCACGGCCACGUCGAACACUUCCGAUUCGCAGUCGUGACAACGCUGUGAACGGGGCGCAGUGAACUCCGGGGCUGUGGUAAAGUUUGUCGCGCCAGACUUCUGCGUGCCCUUCGACAAACUGAGGCAAUGGUGGUGAAAAACAUCUGCUGCAUAGGAGCUGGCUACGUUGGGGGUCCCACGUGCAGUGUUAUUGCCCACAAGUGUCCUGACAUCAAGGUUGUAGUCGCAGACAAGAGCCCCGAGCGCAUCAGGCAAUGGAACUCGGAUGAGUUGCCUAUUUAUGAGCCUCACUUGGAUGAUAUUGUCAAGGCUUGUCGUGGACGGAACCUCUUCUUUUCAUGCGACAUAGACAAAGCUAUCCAGGAGGCUGAUCUGAUCUUCAUUUCAGUCAACACACCGACAAAGCACUAUGGGUUCGGAAAGGGAAGGGCAGCCGACCUACAGUAUGUGGAGGCUGCAGCCAGGACCAUAGCCGAGAAGGCCAUUACGCCAAAGAUUGUGGUCGAGAAAAGCACAGUCCCAGUAAAGGCUGCAGAGAGCAUUAGCCGUAUCCUCAAGGCUAACAUUAUGGAGGGAGCAAAGUUUCAGGUUCUUUCAAACCCCGAAUUUCUAGCUGAGGGCUCAGCUGUUGCAGACCUACUUAAUCCAGAUCGCAUACUCAUCGGAGGAGAGCAGACGCCUGAAGGCCAGGCAGCUAUUGAAGAGCUGUGUUCAGUGUACAAGCAUUGGAUUCCCGAAGACCGUAUCAUCACCAUGAACACCUGGUCUUCAGAGCUUUCAAAACUGGCUGCAAAUGCUUUUCUAGCUCAGAGAAUUUCUAGCAUCAAUGCAGUCUCUGCAAUCUGUGAGUCAACUGGAGCUGAUGUAUCUGAAGUGGCUCAUGCUAUUGGGAGUGACAGCAGAAUUGGUCCAAGAUUUCUACAAGCCAGCGUUGGUUUCGGAGGCAGCUGCUUCCAAAAGGACGUGCUGAAUUUGGUUUACCUGUGCGAAUGCCUCAAGCUUCCAGAGGUUGCGAACUACUGGUAUCAGGUUGUAGAAAUGAACAGCUUUCAGAGGACUCGGUUUGCCCAGCGAAUCAUUGAACGGCUUUUCAACACUGUGGCUAGAAAAAAGAUUGCAGUUCUUGGCUUUGCAUUCAAGAAGAACACUGGUGACACGAGAGAGAGCGCUGCUAUCUAUGUUUGCAAACACUUGAUGGAGGAAGGAGCCUUUCUCAACAUCUAUGACCCCAAAGUCCCAAAGCAGCAGAUUAUCGAUGAUCUCAAUGGCUCAGGAGAACAGGGCGAUGUGUUGAAGCAAGUGGAGAUUUUCCAAGAUGCCUAUUCCGCUGCUCAAGACACCCAUGCCAUUGUUAUUUGCACCGAGUGGGAUGAGUUCAAGUCCCUGGACUACCAACAGAUAUACAACGCCAUGCUCAAACCUCCAUUUCUCUUUGACGGGAGGCGAAUUGUUGACAUCGCCAAGCUGGAAUCCAUCGGCUUCCAAGUUGAGGUGGUUGGCCAAAAGACAGCACGUCAGAGUCUCAACCGUCACAUUGCCAACCACAUCUGAGGUGCGGUUCUGAUGCCUCACCUCGACUGCACUGCCAGGCUAUAUGUUGUGUUUUUAGGGUCCACACAUGCAGAUCAGAGCGUCAGAUUUUGUUUUUAAUAUCAUCAUGGGCUAUAAAAACACACUGCAUUUAGUUGGCAGUAUGCGUGACUGAACCCCUGCCAUUUCCCAAGUUUAUGUUUCCAAGAUCAGCUUGAGGUUAUUUGUUGAACAAUAACACGUUUAGUCACGAUUAUUUGUCUGUGAGAUUGUCAAAAGAUAGUGUUGUUUGUAAUUGUUGCAGUUUGUCAGAUAUUUAUGUGUAUGAGCGGCACCCGUAAGCAGUAAUAAUCCUUGUUGAAGUAAAGAAAGGAAAAUAAUCUGAUGCUCUGACUUGUGACAUGGCCUUGGAAGUAUUCUCAAAGCACCGAAGUUGUGUCUUCUCUUUUGGUUACACUACCAUUUACGAGUGUCAAACACAUGUUAGGUUCAACGAAAGCUCGCAUUUGUGGUGCUUAGAGUUGAAAUUGAGUUGUGUUGUGUGUAUAUAUAUUUGCUGUGCAUUACAAGCACUAUAGGCUACACUUGGCUUCUAAUGCACCCUUUGCUCUAUCUAAUCGAGACAGAGUGGUACAAGUGGAAUAGUAACACAUCUUAUUGUGCAGCUGAUGCUCAGUAUGCUUUAUUGAAGUGGUGAAUAAAAAUGCAUCAGCAAUUGGACUGUAAAGAUCUGGACACCAUAUCACAGUUCUGUAUGUUUAGAUGUCUUUUAGAUGCUCGUAACCAUUUGUACGAGAAUUCAACACAUGAAAUUUGCUACCGUGCCACGUUAACAUUUUAUUAAGGCACACACCACACAGGGUGUGCCGGUGAGAGGUACUGUGCUAGCCAUUGUUCUACCUGGUGACUCUUUUUUUCUUACACAUUACGCUCAUAAAAGUCUUAUCGUGUUGUGCAUUUCUCGCGUCUGUGUGGCACAGACAUUCUUUGUUCCUAUAUUUUGCAGUGCAUUUAGGCAUUUGUUUUAGUGCUUUGUAGUGAAUAGGCUCAUCUUUUGGGUGUUUCUAUAUCAAAAGAACCGCUACCCUGUGUUUUACGCUGUUGCGCGUUCGUUCUGAAAAUCAAAAGUUGUACUUACUACUCUAGGUUGUUGGCGUAAGGUUUUGUUUCGACAUGUGUGAUGGGUGCUAAGUAUUUUCUUUAGUCAGUCAUUAUAUUAUAUACUUUGUGACCCUUUUUUUUAAUGCUGCAGUGGUUGUUUAUACUGGUGCUUUAAAAUGCUGCACUUAUAUACCACCCUUUACAGUGGUGCACUGCUCUGCUUUUUCUUUUAUUAUUGUGCUUGUGCGUUCCUCAGCAUUAUACUUUACUGUAAUUUCGUUUGCCAGGCAAGUACCAAGGGAAAGCAAGCUUCGUGAACAUGUAGACCACAGUCUUUCACUUGAAAAGCUGCACGCAUGUAUGAUAAGCGAACAAAUUCAUGUGUAGAUACUGUGUCUAACGUAUUCAUGUCUCAUAUAGCUUUAGCUAAGUUUGCCUCCAGUAAAUGCUCAGUUCGUAGUAAGAUGGCAACCACUGUCUCUGAAAAUUCAGUUUGUUUUGAUCUUCAGUACAUCUUUAGCACUGUAGUGUGAACAGUAUAAUGACAAACAGUUUGUCAUUACAACCUGAGCAAGUGUUCUGCAGCACCUGCAUGCUCAGCAGUGUAUAAAUUACAGAACUGAUAAUUACUUUAUCAGUGCUGCUGUUUAAUUCAUGGGUAGCAUGUAAGCUGGCUGCCAUGUAGGUGGAAUUUGUUGAUGUCAAAAUAUGCCUACUUGAGAAAACCACCAGCAAUCGAGUGACUAAAGAAGCUUAGUAAUGUAACUGGAAAUUUCAAAUGAGUUGUGGCGCAAGUAUAACCAAAGAAGACAUUAAACGGAAAUGCCUUAUAAGGCUAAAGUGCUCAGUUACAUUUCAGACAGUUCUUACAUAUUCCAUUGGUGAAACAUGAUAGGCGCAGGAAAUCAAAGGUACAAAUUCUCCAUAUUGGAUUUCACAUCUCGACCACUGACCGCACAAUUGAAAUUACUGUAACGUAGUGUAUCUUGUGGUAGUUUUGCAUGUUUGUAAACUUUGCUGGGUCAUGUUUUCAUUUUUUAAUAGAGUAUGUUGCUGGGCUAGUUGGUUCAUAAUCUUAAAAAUUGGAUAGCGUGAAAUCGGCCAGGACCACGAAGUGCAUCUGUGUUCCUUUGUAGUCCUAGUUGAUUUCGUGCUAUCCAAUUUUGAAGAACAUGUUUUCAUUUGUUUAUGAAUGCGAUGCUAUUACUUUUCUGUUCAGUCCGCUUAAUUUUUGUUAAAAGGCUGCCAUAAUCUGUGAGAUGAUGUGAAAGUUGCUGCAGAGAUUUGAAAGCGAUAUUCCCUUCUGCCUCCCACUUGUACAGUUUUCUAGAUCACAGAGGCCAAUGUGCUGGCAAAAGCCAACUAGAUCAUAGGUCAUACAUGUAUUAUGGAAACUAAUCACUUGACUUAACUUGGAACGAAAAAAAGCAUUGAUUGCUUCCUUUAUUUAAUGGUCUCAUAGUAACAGUCCAUCUUCAAUUUAGGUGUUCGUUUUAAGAUAUGAUGAGUCACAAUUACAGAAUUCUUUAAGAAUUUCAGGCUUUCACUUUUCUUAUAUGUGCAAGUUGAUUUAAGGAAACACAUUGAUUUCACGGAGUGUCCUUUGAAUUCUAUAUAUAUUGUAUUGUUUGUUGCGACUCUGUGGAUGAUCAACAACUGCUUGACUCGUAACUUACUGUUAGCACCACAGUUAUUCCUUCUGAAGAAGAAGUCAGUUUUAUUCUCCCAAGUUUAGCUUGGUGUCUACAGAACUUCCUGCUUUCCACCUUGAUUUGCAAAUGACAGGUAUAACAUUUAUAUAUAUAGUAAAUUUUAAGCUGAGGUCGUUUGUUGCUCAGUUUUACCUUUUUUGUUAUGCUCACUGCCCUUGUGUGUUUUGUGCCUAUGUUUUAUUUUAUAAGGGGCUUGUAGUAUUUAGGAGCAUGGCACUGAGGUUAUGUCAUGUUGCAAGUCCACUGAAUUUGCUUGCUUUUAUGUAGUUUGACAUUUAUCGUGCUACGUCGUCUUCCAUAAUAUGCAACAAUGGAUGUUUUUGUGGUUAUAUCUCUUUGGAUUUGCAUUUUUAAAUGUGGGCAGUUGUCUGGAAUGCUGAACAGUAAGUAACUUGCACCAUACAUUUGGUUAUUGUAUUUUGUCUGCAUUUCUUUUGUACUGUUUCCUAAGCAUUUAAUUGGAAAUUGGCUUUGCUGAAUAUGCAUUUCUAAAGAAAAAAAGCUGACUGCAAGUGCCUGCAGACUCAUCUACUACAUGGCUGCUGCUGUUCCAAAGUAAUGUAUUAUCACAUCUUUCUGUUUGAUUUUAAGUGUCAUCACUGCUGUUGUCCCUGAUGAAACAAAACAUUUUGAAAGUUUUAUUAAUUCAGUGCUGUACGAUGUGUUCUCACGUUCCACAACAAUAAACUUAUUUUUGUACUCAC